rnacentral:misc_RNA from 1 species
CACCACUCAAGCUCUGCUUGGUAUUGGGCCCUCGUCCUCCCGGGGACGUGCCCGAAAAUCAGUGGCGUCGCCGCCUGACUUCAAGCGCAGUAAUUCUUCUCGCUUUGGAAGGAAGGGCCGGUCGACCGCCAGACAAACCCAUUAUUUUUCUAU